CCUACGGGUGGCUGCAGUGAGGAAUAUUGGUCAAUGGACGGAAGUCUGAACCAGCCAUGCCGCGUGCAGGAAUAAGGUCCUAUGGAUUGUAAACUGCUUUUAUUUGGGAAUAAACCUCCUUACGUGUAGGGAGCUGAAGGUACCAAAGGAAUAAGCACCGGCUAACUCCGUGCCAGCAGCCGCGGUAAUACGGAGGGUGCAAGCGUUAUCCGGAAUCAUUGGGUUUAAAGGGUCCGCAGGCGGGCUGAUAAGUCAGAGGUGAAAUCCCACAGCUU
rnacentral:rRNA from 1 species